GCGCCCAAGGGUGCACGCCGGUCAGCGAGGUUUCGCCCACCGGCGUCUUUGUC
rnacentral:sRNA from 1 species